GUUUUCUCUUGGCUCCUUCAUUUCUCCUUUUGGAUUUUAACUUGGAUUUUAAUUUAUUUUUAUUUUUUUAAGUUUCCACCCAAAGUUCGGAGGCGUUGGAGGUCAAAGAGGAGACUGAGGGGCCGGGGAGUGGAGUGGAGAGGAGAAAGGAGAAAGGGAGGGCUGAGUGAGCGUGGAGCUGGUCGGUCGGUCAGGUGCAGCGCCACCAGUGAUCAUUAGGGUUACAGCUGCCCGGGCCAGAUUGUGUGCUGCCUGCACCAGGCGAGAUGUUUUGCCCAGGGAGAAGAGCGAGCAUCUGUCUGUCCCUCCCCGUAGACAGCAACCUCCUACCAGCCUGUCCAACUCAACCCAACUGACAGCUUGUCUCGCUCGCUCUCCCUUCAGGACAGGUUGUGAAAGCAGCAGGCCCUUAGUGCAGUGCAGAUUGCAGAAGAAAAAAAACAAGUGCAUGUGAUAUUUGGACUGAAAUGAAUUUUUGGUGUGUGCAAUGCAAUGCCAUUGCAAUAAGCACCACAGAACAGCUUUUCACUUUCAGACUGUUUAUGCGUUAUCUCUGCCCAAUGUUAAUUGCAUAGUUUGAUUGUUGAUAAAGAGGUUCUUUCAUCCAAAGAAAAAAAAAAUGUCUCCAGCAAGUUAAAAACUCAUUUUAAGCAUUUAUUAAAACCAUUGUUCCACCUUA